rnacentral:rRNA from 1 species
GCCUUCAUGAAGCCGGAAUUGCUAGUAAUGGCAGGUCAGCAUACUGCCGUGAAUACGUUCCCGGGCCUUGUACACACCGCCCGUCACACCAUGAGAGUUGGGAAUACCCGAAGCCUGUGAGCCAACCGUAAGGGGGCAGCAGUCGAAGGUAGAAUCAAUGAUUGGGGUGAAGUCGUAACAAGGUACC